rnacentral:rRNA from 1 species
AUUGAACGCUGGCGGCAGGCCUAACACAUGCAAGUCGAGCGAGCGGCGGACGGGUGAGUAAUGUCUGGGAAACUGCCGGAUGGAGGGGGGUAACUACUGGAAACGGUAGCUAAUACCGCAUACCAUCAGAUGUGCGCAGAUGGGAUUAGCUAGUGGGUGGGGUAACGUCUCACCAAGGCGACGAUCCCUAGCUGGUCUGAGAGGAUGACCAGCCACACUGGAACUGAGACACGGCCCAGACUCCUACGGGAGGCAGCAGUGGGGAAUAUUGCACAAUGGGGGCAAGCCUGAUGCAGCCAUGCCGCGUGUGUGAAGAAGGCCUUCGGGUUGUAAAGCACUUUCAGCGGGGAGGCGUUACCCUCAGAAGAAGCACCGGCUAACUCCGUGCCAGCAGCCGCGGUAAUAC